CUUCCAGUAGCACCUUAGAAACCAACUACAGUAAGUUUGUUAUUGGUAUGAGCUUUUGUGUGCAUGCACACUUCUUCAGAUACCAAUAAAAGCUCAUACCAAUAACAAACUUAGUUGGUCUCUAAGGUGCUACUGGAAG